GCAAGUCGAGGGGUAACAUGGGAGACUUCGGUCACCUGAUGACGACCGGCGCACGGGUGCGUAACGCGUACACAACAUACCUUAUACUGGAGAAUAGCCCUUGGAAACGAGGAUUAAUACUCCAUAGUAUCAACUAACCGCAUGGUUUGGUUGAUUAAAGCUUCGGCGGUAUAAGAUUGGUGUGCGUACCAUUAGAUAGUUGGUGAGGUAAUGGCUCACCAAGUCAAUGAUGGUUAGGGGGCGUGAGAGCGUGGAC
rnacentral:rRNA from 1 species